GGGCCUUGCGCUUCCUAGGUAAGCGCUCUACCACUGAGCUAAAUCCCCAGCCCCGUAUUACUUCUUAAUUAGCGGUGGGUCUGUUCAUAUCUGUCUAGACUACUUACAGAGCUUAUGGAAUGUUUUUAUAUAGCGAGGGAAUUUGUUGUGAUGACUUACAGUCUGUAGUCCAACUCCCCCAACAAUGGUCAGCUGUGAAUGGGAAGUCCAAGAAUCUAGUAGUUUCUUAGUUCCACGAGGCUAGCUGUUUCAGCUUUUCUUCUGUAGAACUUAGAUUCCAACAGAUGUGCUGGCAAGUAAAUGCAAGCAAGCAGAGCAAAUCUUUCUUCUUCCAAUGUCCUUAUGUAAGUCUCCAGCAGAAGGUGUGGCCCAGAUUAAAGGUGUGUACCACCAUGCCUGGAUCUGGGACUUGAUUUGUCCCAGGCUGACAUUGAACUCAGAAAUCUCCUUGCCUUAGUCUCCUGGGAUUAAAGACAUGUACUACCUUGCCUGGGCCUAAGCUUUUCAUGGCCACUAUGCCUCAAGAUCUCCAUGCCAAGAUCCAUGUCAGAAACUUGGAUCUCCCAGCCUCAAGAUCUGGAUCACAGGUGAGCCUUCCAAUUCUGGAUUAGUUCAUUCCAGAAAUAGUCAAGUUGACAACCAGAAAUAGCUACUACAAGAUACCAUGAAGUAUAGAAAACACGUGGAUAUGGGAUUACUUACAAAAGGCAGUGUCUACCAUUGCUAUCCUAGAGCCUAGGAAAGCCAGAAUGUGGAAUCUAGACCUAAUCAUACAGGCAUGUGACGACACUGGCGAGGGUCCUUGACCAUACAAAGAUUCCAUUGCCCUUCUAAGGAAAACACGAGCCAUCUUCCCUAAAUAUAGGCCAUUCAGGCAGCUCCAGGGCCUACACUGAAAGACCCCAGCUUAGCAGCAGUAACGCCAUUUUGCAAGGCUGUACUUAAGAUGACUGGUUCAGGGAAAGGUUAGAACACUGAGUACACAGCGGCUGCCAAGCAGGAUGUGUUUGGUUGAAGGCCUGGCAACAGGACGACUUCGGUUGAGCACCUGACAAUGAAAAAAAAGCCCCGAGAGAGGUCCCACACCCUGGUGGGGGGCCGAGUCAGUCGUUAUGUUCCAAGAAGGUAGCUAAGAAACUUGCCCCCGGGCUGAACCCUUGGGGGGCCGAGUCAGCCGUUAUGUUUCUGGAAGGUAGCUAGGAAACUUGCCCCCGGGCUAAACCCUUGCCAUAUUAGAAUCCACCAAUUAUAUCCCUGUAACCAUACAUCUGCUUCUGUAUGCUUGCUUCUGCUCCCCAAAAUCCUAUAAAAGCCCAUCCUUGGUUCCGUGGGGCGCGCCAGUCCCCCGAGUGACUGAAGCGCCCGCAGGUGCCUGUGCCUGUGUAUCCCAACAAUAAACCAAAUCCUCUUGCUGAUUGCAUCCUGUGGUGUCUCGGUCUGGUCUUUGGAGUUGGAGGGUCUCCAUCCCGAGGGAAAGUUCUCCCUGAGAGCUUUUCAUUUGGUGCAUUGGCCGGGAAAGGAGAUCCUCCACCCAGGGACCACCGACCACCCACUGGGAGGUAAGCCGGCCGGUGUCUGUCUGUCUGUCUGAUUUUGUCUCGUUCUGCCUUAUUCUGUCUGUUCUGUGAGCGCUCAGCCAGGUCUGUUCUGUGAGCGCUCAGCCAGGUCUGUUCUGUGAGCGCUCAGCCAGGUCUGUUCUGUGAGCGCUCAGCCAGGUUGUUUGGAAUUUGGGCGGGACGAAGAAGGAGCUGACGAGCUCGGACUUCUCGCCCCGCAGCCCUGGAAGACGUUCCAAGGGUGUUGGGGCCCGACUUUUCGGGGCCCAAUCUGGGAGAGGAGAAAGAUCCGGACUAACAGCACCUCUGUCUGUAUUUUUGGCUUUCAGAGGGCCCCGGACCUUUGCCACCUCCAUCUGACUUUUUGCUUUCAGUUUGGUACCAAAGCCGUGCAGCACGCCUGUCUGUUGUUUGUUUGACUGUUGGUGUUGUUUGUUUUCUCUGUGUUCUAAUCUUCCUUAGAACUAACAUGGGACAGUCCCUAACAAUGCCCCUAAGUCUCACUCUUGAUCAUUAGAAAGACGUCCACGACCGGGCACACAACCAGUCCGUCGAGGUUAAAAAAGGAAAAUGACAGACUCUCUGCACAUCCGAGUGGCCCACUUUCGGAGCGGGAUGGCCAGUGAAUGGCACAUUUAAUAAGAUCAUUAUUUUACAGGUUAAAGAUCGGGUCGUCCACGGACAUCCUGACCAGGUUUCUUAUAUUAUCACUUGAGAGAGUCUCGCCUUAAACCCCCCCCCCCCGGGCGGAACCCUUCGUGGACCCGAAUUGGCCUCCCCUCAACCCCCAGCCUGUCCCCUCGGCCCCGCCCGGUCCGCCGGCCACGUCUUCCUCUCUCUACCUUUGUGAAAUCAGAGCCUUCUAAGAAACCUGUCCUCCCGGCAGACCCAAACUCCCCUCUCACAGAUCUUCUCUCUGACAGGCCCGGCUGAAACGGAGGAGGCAGAGCCGCCGGCCAGAUCAGUUGCUGGGCCACAGUCUGAUAAGGGUUUCUCCCCUGUCGCAGGGAGAUUGCACAAUAAGCGCGAGGUGAUGCCAGAUUCAACCUCCCAGGCUUUCCCACUUAGACAGGGAACCGGUGGCCAGACCCAAUACUGGCCGUUUUCAGCAGCUGACAUUUACAAUUGGAAACAACACAACCCUUCUUUCUCCAAAGAUCCGGUGGCACUCACCGACCUAAUAGAAUCUGUUUUACUUACCCACCAGCCUACUUGGGAUGACUGCCAACAGCUCUUACAGGCCCUCUUAACCUCAGAAAAAACAAAGAGUGUUCCUAGAGGCCAGAAAGCAUGUUCUGGGAGAUGAUGCUCGUCCCACCCAGCUGCCUGAGGACCAAACUGGGAUUUUAAUACAGCUGAAGCCCUUCUCUGAGGGCCCAUUUACAGGCCCUACAGAUUGUGCAGAGAGACGUUUGGAGACCUUUGGCCGCUGCUUACCAGGACAAGCUUGAACAUCCGGUGGUGCCACACCCGUUCCAGAUUGGAGACACCGUGUGGGUGCGCAGACACCAGACCAAGAAUCUCGAGCCACGGUGGAAAGGACCCUACACCGUCCUCCUGACUACCCUGACCGCCCUAAAGAUAGACGGAGUCUCGGCUUAGAUCCACGCACCACACGUCAAGGCAGUCCGGUCUGAGGAAUUGACUAAUCACAACACUACACCCCAGACAUGGAGAGUUCAGCGCACUCCAAACCCCUUAAAGUUAAAACUCCUACGUGGCUCCUCCUAGCCCUUUUGUGGCCUAGAGUCAGUGGGGGAAUAAGCCCCCACCAGACAGAAAUUUCUUGACCAAGUCGAGUGAAAGAUUUCACUCAAAGUUAACAAAAAAAAAUGGGGGAAUGAAAGACCCCAGCUUAGCAGCAGUAACGCCAUUUUGCAAGGCUGUACUUAAGAUGACUGGUUCAGGGAAAGGUUAGAACACUGAGUACACAGCGGCUGCCAAGCAGGAUGUGUUUGGUUGAAGGCCUGGCAACAGGACGACUUCGGUUGAGCACCUGACAAUGAAAAAAAAGCCCCGAGAGAGGUCCCACACCCUGGUGGGGGGCCGAGUCAGUCGUUAUGUUCCAAGAAGGUAGCUAAGAAACUUGCCCCCGGGCUGAACCCUUGGGGGGCCGAGUCAGCCGUUAUGUUUCUGGAAGGUAGCUAGGAAACUUGCCCCCGGGCUAAACCCUUGCCAUAUUAGAAUCCACCAAUUAUAUCCCUGUAACCAUACAUCUGUUUCUGUAUGCUUGCUUCUGCUCCCCAAAAUCCUAUAAAAGCCCAUCCUUGGUUCCGUGGGGCGCGCCAGUCCCCCGAGUGACUGAAGCGCCCGCAGGUGCCUGUGCCUGUGUAUCCCAACAAUAAACCAAAUCCUCUUGCUGAUUGCA